AGUAGUCACGAGUUUGAUCAGUGGCUCAGAACAACGCUGGCGGCACGCCUAACACAUGCAAGUCGAACGAGACCUUCGGGUCUAGUGGCGCACGGGUGCGUAACGCGUGGGAACCUGCCUUUAGGUUCGGAAUAACUCAGAGAAAUUUGAGCUAAUACCGGAUAAUGUCUUCGGACCAAAGAUUUAUCGCCUUUAGAUGGGCCCGCGUUGGAUUAGCUAGUUGGUGGGGUAAAGGCCUACCAAGGCGACGAUCCAUAGCUGGUCUGAGAGGAUGAUCAGCCACACUGGGACUGAGACACGGCCCAGACUCCUACGGGAGGCAGCAGUGGGGAAUAUUGGACAAUGGGCGAAAGCCUGAUCCAGCAAUGCCGCGUGAGUGAUGAAGGCCUUAGGGUUGUAAAGCUCUUUACCCGAGAUGAUAAUGACAGUAUCGGGAGAAUAAGCUCCGGCUAACUCCGUG
rnacentral:rRNA from 1 species